rnacentral:rRNA from 1 species
CCUACGGGAGGCAGCAGUGGGGAAUAUUGCACAAUGGGGGAAACCCUGAUGCAGCGACGCCGCGUGAGUGAAGAAGUAAUUCGUUAUGUAAAGCCCUAUCAGCAGGGAAGAAAAUGACGGUACCUGAGUAAGAAGCCCCGGCUAACUACGUGCCAGCAGCCGCGGUAAUACGGGGGGGGCCAGCGUUAUUCGGAUUUACUGGGGGUAAAGGGAGCGUAGACGGCAGUGCAAGUCUGGAGUGAAAGGCGGGGGCUCAACCCCCGGACUGCUGUGGAAACUGUACGGCUGGAGUGCAGGAGAGGUAAGUGGAAUGCUUAGUGUAGCGGUGAAAUGCGGAGAGAUUAGGAGGAACACCAGUGGCGAAGGCGGCUUACUGGACUGUAACUGACGUUGAGGCUCGAAAGCGUGGGGAGCAAACAGGAUUAGAUACCCUAGUAGUC